rnacentral:rRNA from 1 species
UACAGAGGGGGCAAGCGUUAUUCGGAAUUAUUGGGCGUAAAGGGCGCGUAGGCGGCUUGACAAGUGGCGGGUGAAAUCCCUCGGCUUAACCGAGGAACUGCCUGCCAGACUGUCUUGCUUGAGACCGGGAGAGGUGAGUGGAAUUCCCAGUGUAGCGGUGAAAUGCGUAGAUAUUGGGAGGAACACCAGCGGCGAAGGCGGGUAGCUGGGCCAACACUGACGCUGAUGCGCGAAAGCUAGGGGAGCAAACGGG